rnacentral:lncRNA from 1 species
AUGGGCAACCUGCUCACACAUCUGCCUGGAGCUGCAGUUGUGAGUGCCCAGGUGCUCAGCACUGUGUGCCAGGGCCUUUGGGAAGAGAAUGUCAGUAGGAAGCCGGGGCCCGCAAGGGUCUGUAUAGCCCUGCUGCAUGGCCAGGUCUGCCCCUAUCAAGACAGCACAGAUGGCUGGGGCUGGAGUGGGGCUGUCCUCUAC